rnacentral:snRNA from 1 species
UCUCGAUUGCGAUUGCAG